rnacentral:rRNA from 2 species
UGAGUAACACGUGGGCAACCUGCCUGUAAGACUGGGAUAACAUCGAGAAAUCGGUGCUAAUACCGGAUAAUAAAAAGAACUGCAUGGUUCUUUUUUGAAAGAUGGUUUCGGCUAUCACUUACAGAUGGGCCCGCGGCGCAUUAGCUAGUUGGUGGGGUAACGGCUCACCAAGGCGACGAUGCGUAGCCGACCUGAGAGGGUGAUCGGCCACACUGGGACUGAGACACGGCCCAGACUCCUACGGGAGGCAGCAGUAGGGAAUCUUCCGCAAUGGACGAAAGUCUGACGGAGCAACGCCGCGUGAGUGAUGAAGGUUUUCGGAUCGUAAAACUCUGUUGUUAGGGAAGAACAAGUGCCGUUCGAAAGGGCGGCACCUUGACGGUACCUAACGAGAAAGCCACGGCUAACUACGUGCCAGCAGCCGCGGUAAUACGUAGGUGGCAAGCGUUGUCCGGAAUUAUUGGGCGUAAAGCGCGCGCAGGCGGUCUCUUAAGUCUGAUGUGAAAGCCCCCGGCUCAACCGGGGAGGGUCAUUGGAAACUGGGAGACUUGAGUACAGAAGAGGAGAGUGGAAUUCCACGUGUAGCGGUGAAAUGCGUAGAGAUGUGGAGGAACACCAGUGGCGAAGGCGACUCUCUGGUCUGUAACUGACGCUGAGGCGCGAAAGCGUGGGGAGCAAACAGGAUUAGAUACCCUGGUAGUCCACGCCGUAAACGAUGAGUGCUAGGUGUUAGGGGUUUCGAUGCCCUUAGUGCCGAAGUUAACACAUUAAGCACUCCGCCUGGGGAGUACGACCGCAAGGUUGAAACUCAAAGGAAUUGACGGGGGCCCGCACAAGCAGUGGAGCAUGUGGUUUAAUUCGAAGCAACGCGAAGAACCUUACCAGGUCUUGACAUCCUUUGACCACCCUAGAGAUAGGGCUUUCCCCUUCGGGGGACAAAGUGACAGGUGGUGCAUGGUUGUCGUCAGCUCGUGUCGUGAGAUGUUGGGUUAAGUCCCGCAACGAGCGCAACCCUUGACCUUAGUUGCCAGCAUUCAGUUGGGCACUCUAAGGUGACUGCCGGUGACAAACCGGAGGAAGGUGGGGAUGACGUCAAAUCAUCAUGCCCCUUAUGACCUGGGCUACACACGUGCUACAAUGGAUGGUACAAAGGGUUGCGAAGCCGCGAGGUGAAGCCAAUCCCAGAAAGCCAUUCUCAGUUCGGAUUGCAGGCUGCAACUCGCCUGCAUGAAGCCGGAAU